CUGCCAAGCAAAUAUAUUGUACCCAUCCCAGUUUGCAUUUCAGUAUAAUAUCAAAUACUUGGCUCUUUAUUUCUAUUAAAUAAACUCUUUUCUUUAUGUGAAACAGGUUCAACCAGAAGAACAACAACAUCAACCCACUGAAACCAUCUGCGAGCAACCAGUUCCACCUACUGGGAAUGUUGUCUCUCAAGACAACCCGGAGCAGAUUGUGGGGCUUGGAGAUAACACC